AAUUUUGUUUCUUUUUUAAUAAAUAAAUCAUAAAUUUUUAAAUUUCCGUGUCCCCAGACCAGGACCAGGGAGGUCCCUGUGGAAGGAGCCACCAUCUACGCCGUGGUCACUCCCAGGACACUGGAGAAUCCCAGACAGCGGGAGGAACCCGGGGAUUUCACUGUUUAUGCCACGGUCCAGAGGCCUCCCUCCAUCAAGAAGAAGAGGCUGGACCGAGCUUUGGUCUCCACUGCCUACUUGGAGGAUAACGGGGAUUACAGGCGCUUGGGUUCCCCAAAUCCUAAACGCCCCUAAAAUCCCGGAAUUCUCAUCCCCGUGGAAUUCAACUCCAGCAUCCAAUGGGAUCCCACCCGAUGGAAUAGAAAUAUGCAGGAAUUUGGGUAUUUUUCCCCAAAAUUCAGCCCCAGCUGCACCUUGGAGCGAAGAUUUUGGGGUGGAAAAUUCUUUGGAAUGGAUGGAUUUGGGAUUGGGGGGAGAGGGAAUUUUGGGGGGUUUUUAGGAUUUGGAAAGUUUGGGAACUUUAAAUUUUUUUAUUAUUUUUGGUAAAUACAGCUGGG
rnacentral:lncRNA from 12 species